AAGCAGUUGGUAACCAAGGAACUAGUUAUUUAACGCUGAGCGUUUCGACACUGAAGUAUGUUGACUUUAAAGGCUCUUUGUCGAGCCGUAACUCGUGAGAGCACAAUUUAAUUACAAGAAAAAGGUUUCACUGUCUUGGUCACAGCGAAAUGCCACAAGAAUUUAUGAAAUGAUCUCGAAAAGUCUGGAUUAUGUAACUUUUUACCUCAUAAAACAUCACGAGUAGCUAUAUACAGAUCAC